rnacentral:lncRNA from 1 species
GGAGAUGGGAGCGCCUAGGGACCCGAACCGAGUGCACCUGCUGCAGCCUGGCACUAGGGAUUUGAAAAUCCAUGGAGAUGGAAACCUAUGCCGAGGUUAGAAGACCUGGAUCCACUUUGCAGGAUUUUAAAUAUCCUUCAAGCCUCAGUGCCUGGCAGACUGGACUUUGGACUUCGGACUUCCAGCUCCGAUGCUGAAAAAGGAGGGUUUUUUUGUUUGUUUGUUUUUCCACUUUGCUUCCUUGCUUGUCGAGGCUGAGAACAUACGGUGUUUUUGAGGGCCACCAUCAAAGGGUACUCGCUUCUCCAAACCUUGGAACCCGAGGUCUAGCCUUGGAAAGAGUUGCCGCCUUACCAUCUCUCCUCGCCUAGGGAAGCCCCAGCUGUGUGCGCUACUGCAGGGUCACAGUGCCGCGGUGCCGAGCUUCUUUCGUGGUCCCUGUCGCCGUCCGUUUCUUGAGAUUUCAGACUCUGGGCUUGGAAACCAGUUGACUGCCUUUCUUAGCGAGGUGCCCUCGGAAACCUGUGGAGGAAUGUUUGGAUUAUGAAUGCUCACCGUGCCGAGUUUUCAGUGGCUCUGCUGUGUGAGCCUCAGAACAGUGUAUCUUUCAAUGCCCAGAUGGCUGCAUGACCCUAAACUCUUCCUCGUGGAUGGUCGUCACACAGAGGCUUUUCAAGGGCAGAGGAGAGCAAAUGCCCUGGACAGAAGUGCAGUCAGCAGCUGGAAACAACUGGAGCCCAUGUAGCUUGGCCAACAGCAGGAUGGGAGAGCUGCCUCAUGCUUGGAAUCAGUGUUGGGAAAGCCACCCGUGGCUCCUUGAGGUUCUUUCCUGAUGUCUGCUGAGGAGACAAGCCAGUCUGGGACCCCAUGUCUCACUGUGAUCAGCAAGACUCUGGGACCUGGGCUGGUGAGAUGGCUCAGUGGGUAAGAGCACCCGACUGCUCUUCCGAAGGUCCGGAGUUCAAAUCCCAGCAACCACAUGGUGGCUCACAACCACCCAUAAUGAGAUCUGAUGCCCUCUUCUGGUGCAUCUGAAGAUAGCUACAGUGUACUUACAUAUAAUAAAUAAAUAAAUAAAUCUUAAAAAAAAAAAAAAAA